rnacentral:rRNA from 1 species
UACGUAGGGGGCGAGCGUUGUUCGGAAUUAUUGGGCGUAAAGCGCGUGUAGGCGGUUCGGUAAGGCGGGUGUGAAACCCCAGGGCUCAACCCUGGGCCGGCAUCCGCGACUGCCGGGCUGGAGUGCGGGAGGGGAGAGCGGAAUUCCUGGUGUAGCGGUGAAAUGCGUAGAUAUCAGGAGGAACACCGGUGGCGAAGGCGGCUCUCUGGACCGUAACUGACGCUGAGGCGCGAAAGCUAGGGGAGCAAACAGG